UCCUUUGUCCUUCGUGACAAAAAGGGGGAGUAGAUAUUUUGGAUAGAGUUGGAUAGAUAGAUAUCGAUUUUUUGGUAAUUGUGAUAUAAAGAUGAUGUGUAUAUAAUUCAUGACUAGAUUAAGUUUUUGAUGUUUUGGCAAUAUUAAUGUAUGUUUUUGGUGUUUUUGACUUACAUUAUUAUUGCUUCUUAAUCUGGUUAAUGACGUAUGAUCUAUUUCUUGUUUUUAUUUACUGUUUCCAUUUCACAUGCUUUUACACUUGGUAUUUGAGUUUUUGAUUUUCAGGAAACAGGUUCAACAAGAGAUAGCUGCUUUGGUUGAAUAGAUAGGUUGUUUGGAGUCAUUUUUAUUUAUGUCCUUGAC
rnacentral:lncRNA from 1 species